ACCUCUGCAAUGGGCGAAAGCCUGACAGGGUUACUCUGAGUGAUUUCCGCUAAGGAGAUCUUUUGGCAGCUCUAAAAAUGGUGCAGAAUAAGGGGUGGGCAAGUCUGGUGUCAGCCGCCGCGGUAAUACCAGCACCCCGAGUGGUCGGGACGAUUAUUGGGCCUAAAGCAUCCGUAGCCGGUUGUGCAAGUCCUCCGUUAAAUCCAGCCGCUCAACGGAUGGGCUGCGGAGGAUACUACAGGACUAGGAGGCGGGAGAGGCAAGCGGUACUUAGUGGGUAGGGGUAAAAUCCUUUGAUCCAUUGAAGACCACCAGUGGCGAAGGCGGCUUGCCAGAACGCGCUCGACGGUGAGGGAUGAAAGCUGGGGGAGCAAACCGGAUUAGAUACCCGGGUAGUCCCAGCUGUAAACGAUGCAGACUCGGUGAUGGGCUAGCCUCGUGUCAGCCCAGUGCCGCAGGGAAGCCGUUAAGUCUGCCGCCUGGGGAGUACGGUCGCAAGACUGAAACUUAA
rnacentral:rRNA from 2 species